UUAAGGUCUACAGCCUUCUCUUCUUCUUCUUCCUCCUCCUCCUCCUUUGCUUGCCGCGCCGCCGCAGCCCAGAUGGCGGCGCCGCUCCUCUUCUACGACCUCAGCCUCCUCCCACCCUCCUCCGUUGGCGGUGGCGGCGAUGACAACUCAAACCCCUCCUCCUCCCGCCUCCAACUCUUAGCCGCCACGGCCCGCGCUCUCGAGCUCGGCUACGCCGCCGUCGCUCUCGACCACCCCCACCGCGGCCUCCUAGCCGACUCCAACCGCUGCCGCACCGAACCUUUCCCGCCCCUCUCCUCUCUCCCACUCCCGUCCUCCGCCGCUCUCCAUCGCCGCCGCCUCGCCUCCCCCGCCUCCGAGCCCUUCCGCCAGUACACCCGCAUCACCCUCUCCCUCGACUCCGCUGCCGCCGCCGCUUCCGCCGUCGCUCCCUCUGCCGCCCGCCUCCUCCGCACCUACGACCUCGUCGCAGCCCGCCCUCUCACCCAGGCCGCCUUCGACCACCUCUGCCAGGCUCCCCUCUCUGCCCAACACCUUGAUCUCAUCUCCAUCGACUUCUCCUCCCACAGCAAGCUGCCCUUCCGCAUCAAGCUCCCCAUGCUCAAGCUUGCGCUGCAAAAGGGGCUGCAUUUUGAGAUUGCCUACUCCCCACUCAUUUCUGCUGACAUCAAUGCCAAGAGAAACCUCUUAGCUGAAGUCAAGCUCUUGGUGGAUUGGACUAAAGGAAAGAAUCUCGUCAUCUCAAGCGCUGCUCACACUGCUUCCCAGCUCAGAGGGCCCUAUGAUGUCAUCAAUCUAUCUGAUUAUUUGCUUGGCCUUCCCAUCAACCGAGCAAAAUCUGCAAUGUCCACAAACUGCAGGUCACUUAUUUUGAAGGCUUUGAGGAAGAAACAUUUCUACAAAGAAACAAUUAGAGUUGACAGAUUGUUGCCAAAUGAACAGUUGAGUUCAACAAAAUUCAAGCUUGUUGAUUGGAUUGCUUGGAAUUCUGUAUCAUCUGAAGGAGGGGUAAAUCACCUAGAACCUUCUUCCAACAUUGAUGAACUUCCUGGUUCACCCAUACAUGGUAUAAUGGAAGGGUCAUAUGAAAAACCUCACAAUUCUGAUGUGUCUUUAUUAGCUAAACAGUCAGAACAAUCUAAUGAUCAAGAACAAAUCCCAUCUCAAACCCAAGAAGAGACACUACAAGUUGACAGAACUGAAGUUCUAACAGAUUGCAGCCAGUCUCUCUUGCCAACAUCUUUCAAUUAUCAAAAUGCUGUUCUUGCGAAGGCUGGAAACAGUGAAGUUGUUCCGGAUCCUUUCGUGCAGGCUGGUCCAGGUUGUUCUGUUAGUCCAAAAGGCGUAGUGAAGCAUGUCAAAUUUGUGAAGGAUGCAAUGGAAGUAGAUGGAACAGAAUCACGCAGUCUUGUUGUGGGUGACAAUAUUCCUUCAACUUGUGGUACUAGUAUCAAGUUAACAUGCUCUUCUGGCAGUAAUCUCGAGGAUCAUGGUCCAUGCCAAUCUAGUGAAAUCCUAGCCAAUGCUAAAUCUUAUACCAAAUAUCACACUGAUUGCGCCAGUAGUGAGAGGGAGAAAACCCUACUGGAUCAUGAAAUUCCUUCUGGUUCUGUUGUUUUCCCUGAGGACAAGGAUUUGGACCAGUCUAGGGGCAUGCAAGUUGAUGCUGAGACUUACAGAGGUACUUCAGAACUAGUAGAGUGCCCCCCAAGUGGGGUAGAUGACGAGGCACCAUUGGAUCUUGCAUUUUACUCGUGUCAUAAAUUACACAGGGAUGUUACAAUUCAGCAGAAAGUUAUGGAGGGGAAAAUAAAGCAAAGUAUGGAUGAAAACAUAGAACGAACUGCGGAAAAUGAGACAGAGUCCAAUGACAAUAAAAUAAAAACAUCUAUUCCAUUGAACCAUGCGUUCCAUGGUCAGGAGAUCAGCUUGACUAGUUAUAAAAGAAGUACUGACGCAAGUUGUGAAAGUGACGAGUUGAAACAACUAAAUUCUGAGGAAACAAAUGCUUCUUUGGAGAGAAGUGUUGCUAAAACACAUGAGCUACUACCAAAAUAUUCUUAUCCAAGUGGUAAGGUUGAGAUGUCCACAAUCAGAUCAGAAAAGCAAAGACAUAAACUAAGGCUGUACCGUCCAGCUUAUCUUCCUUUCUUGGGCUUCCUUAGGUCUGUGCAUUUCAAGAAGAAAAUAUGCAAAGUAAGAGGGCUGAUCAAACACACGUGAGGUUUUAUUUCACUUUGAUAGGAAUGUGGUGUCACUUACCAUCCCUGAAUCAUUAUGUAACAAGGGAAAAUUGAAGAAUUUCCCAUUGAAAAAUUUCAGUUUCAAGUUUCAACCUCAAAUGAAACUCUUUUACCAUCAGCUGUAUUGUUAUUGUACCCAUGGAAAAUAGUCAUACCUGAGAGGUUGUGUCUAGAUGGAAGUCGUAAGCACUGUGGUGUACACAAUACAAGCAAUUUGGCCCAUGUCAAAGGCUAAUGGAUCUAUGGUGCCCUUUGACUUUAUCUUGUCGGUUGGCUAAGGCCACUUGAAGUCCUCAGGCUAUGUCAACGAGGCACAAAUUUUUGAGUGGGCUACUGUAGGGAUUCACGAGAGGGUGUGGCCACAAUAGGAGCAGGCAGUGCUGUGAUUGGUUUAAAGGGACUCCAUUGAUGUUACCAACCAAUUGGCAACUGAAAACAGCGUCCUGGGUCUAUAGCUGCAUACUUGUGUCCAAUAGUUGCUUGGAACGAGACUGAUUCUUGUGGGAUUCAAUCUUGUUUGUAGGCUGCAUUGUUCAAAUGGGGGCAUCAUAUCAUUUCUUCCUCCCCCACCAAUAAUCAUGGGAGAUGCCACUUCUGAUUUUGGAAGCUUAUCAUGGGAGCUAGUGUGCUGGUGGACUUUGGAGGGAUAAAAGUCUUGUCAAGGGCUGCUUUCAAGUUUAUAUAAUCGUGAUCAUCUAUCAUUCAGUGAGCUUCCUAUCUAUUUGCAUAAUCUUUGGUUUUUCCAAAUCUGGAUGCCAAUGAACAAACUGCAUCGAUUGCCUUUGUGACCAUGCAUACCACAUAUUCACGUUGCUGCGGUUAGGAAAUGGUGAGGAAUGUUAGAAUCAGGCAAAUAUUUGGCAUGCUGAUUCCCCAGAAUGCCAGAACUGGCCGUUGGACCAAGACAUUUGGUGCCUGGUAGUGGUAGGUCCUUUCCCUUUGUUGCAGUGUGGUCAACUGCAAGCUGGGCAUAUGUACGUGUGUCCUGGUGUACAACAGCACAGGGCAUGUGGUGUAAGGAUGAUGAUAUCAUAUCGAAAAAGGAGUUGAUAUCACCAACUCACUCAUGUCUGCUUGAA